UAGGGAAUCUUCGGCAAUGGACGGAAGUCUGACCGAGCAACGCCGCGUGAGUGAAGAAGGUUUUCGGAUCGUAAAGCUCUGUUGUAAGAGAAGAACGAGUGUGAGAGUGGAAAGUUCACACUGUGACGGUAUCUUACCAGAAAGGGACGGCUAACUACGUGCCAGCAGCCGCGGUAAUACGUAGGUCCCGAGCGUUGUCCGGAUUUAUUGGGCGUAAAGCGAGCGCAGGCGGUUAGAUAAGUCUGGAGUUAAAGGCUGUGGCUUAACCAUAGUAGGCUUUGGAAACUGUUUAACUUGAGUGCAAGAGGGGAGAGUGGAAUUCCAUGUGUAGCGGUGAAAUGCGUAGAUAUAUGGAGGAACACCGGUGGCGAAAGCGGCUCUCUGGCUUGUAACUGACGCUGAGGCUCGAAAGCGUGGGGAGCAAACAGGAUUAGAUACCCUGGUAGUCCACGCUGUAAACGAUGAGUGCUAGGUGUUAGACCCUUUCCGGGGUUUAGUGCCGUAGCUAACGCAUUAAGCACUCCGCCUGGGGAGUACGACCGCAAGGUUG
rnacentral:rRNA from 1 species